UACGGUGUUCCCCGCCGUGGUGCUCGGGAAGACCGGUGACGGACCCUCAGGGGUCCCAGCCCGGAGCGGCCCUCGCCACUGUGAUCGGGUCGUUCCUCCGCCCGCGGAGGAACGUCGUCCGUGCCCACGGAGCCACUGGGUGCCUCGCGCACCUGGGAAGGCGGGCACGGGUAUCCCGUCAGCCAGGAGACCGGCCACGGCAUCUCACGAGGU
rnacentral:ncRNA from 2 species